UUUAAAAAAUCACUUGAGGUGGAAAGUGCUAUAUGGUUUCCAAAGACAAGUCCCAACACCUGACCCUUUCAUGAGCUGGAGGCGGAUCUGUCAGGGCACCGGUGGUUAGGAGGCGAGGAAGGAACGGAGGCCUCUUCUCCGACCGUCUGCAUGUGCCACGAACAGCUUGAUCGUCUGCAGCAGCCCACAGAAAGGCCUCAGGCCGCAGACAGACUUGAGGCUCUAUCCCGCCCGUCCCAACCCCCAGCACCGGCGUCUGUGCCGUUCCACGCCGGCUCCUGCUGCCAGCCGAGCCCUGAGGUGGGGCGCGGUCUCUGAAGGCACCAGGCUAAGGGGCUGGAAACCAGUGUCCAGUGCCCACUCUCCGCGCGUGUCUUCAGCUUUUCAGGGGAGUCUGUGCCCACAGCUCCACCUCGUUGGAAGCAUCAGGCAGUUAGAAAUCAGCCUUCGGGAAGGCUUCGUCAGUUUCCUUCACGGAGAGAACCCAGGAGCCUGGUGCGCCUGCCCUCUGAGGCUGCGGCGAGCUUUGCGUCUGAAUUCCUUCUCCAGCGUGAGACAAACCGCCCGCUCUGUGCUGCUUGAAGGAUAUUUUUCAAAGUGAGGAAACUGAGGCCACGCGUCAUGGUGUCAUAAUCCACCAAACACAUUUGUCGGACGGUUUUCCUUUUCGUCUUAAUCUCAAGGAACGCAUAUUUACAGCUCAAGUGCAGAGCUGAGCCUGAAAUGCAGGCAUCACCCACCUGAGGCUCAGGCCUAUUAAAAUAUGGACACUGCUUUGCACUUUGUUCGUUGUAAGGAGUCUCUUUCUAGAAAAUAAUAAGCUUGUAUUUGCAAAUACAGAUAAAAGGGCACUUUGGGCUUUAAGAUGCUGGUAAGUUUUAGUGGCAGAAGAUGGAUUUGCCCCAGUCUGGUGAUUCCAGACUGUGGGAUCCGGAAUCAGGAGGCCCUCCCUUCCUGCAAGGUGAGUCCCUCUGGGCCUGGGGCCAGGACUCGGCAAAGUGUCAGCCCGUGUGACCAAGGACUCUGAGGAGAGCCCAGCGGCGGAGCCCAAGGCUGGUGUGAGCCCAGGCUAAUUUUUUUUUUUUUUUUUUUUUUAGACACAGUCUCACUCUGUCGCCCAGGCUGGAGUGCAGUGGCGUGAUCUUGGCUCACCACAAUCUCUGCCUCCCAAGUUCAAGCAAUUCUCCUGCCUCAGCCUCCUGAGUAGCUGGGAUUACAGGUGCUCGCCACCACACCCAGCUAAUUUUUUAUACGUUUAGUAGAGACGUGGUUUCACCAUGUUGGCCAGGCUGGUCUUGAACUCCUGACCUCAGGUGAUCAGCCUACCUCGGCCUCCCAAAGUGCUGGGAUUACAGGCAUGAGCCACCAUGCUUGGUCUCUUUUUUCUUUUUCUUAAUUUUUUUUUUUUUUUUUUUUU
rnacentral:lncRNA from 1 species